rnacentral:rRNA from 1 species
AUUGAACGCUGGCGGCGUGCCUAACACAUGCAAGUCGAGCGGUAACAGGUGUAGCAAUACAUGCUGACGAGCGGCGGACGGGUGAGCAAUAUUUGGGAAUCUGCCUAUUAGUGGGGGAUAACCCGGGGAAACUCGGGCUAAUACCGCAUACGCUCUACGGAGGAAAGCCGGGGACCGCAAGGCCUGGCGCUAGUAGAUGAGCCCAAAUCGGAUUAGCUAGUUGGUGAGGAACGGCUCACCAAGGCGACGAUCCGUAGCUGGUUUGAGAGAACGACCAGCCACACCGGAACUGAGACACGGUCCGGACUCCUACGGGAGGCAGCAGUGGGGAAUAUUGGACAAUGGGCGAAAGACCUGAUCCAGCGACG